rnacentral:rRNA from 1 species
UACGAAGGGGGCUAGCGUUGUUCGGAAUUACUGGGCGUAAAGGGCGCGCAGGCGGUCCUUCAAGUCAGAUGUGAAAGCCCCGGGCUCAACCUGGGAACUGCAUUUGAAACUGGCGGGCUUGAGUAUGGCAGAGGGGGGUGGAAUUCCGCGUGUAGCAGUGAAAUGCGUAGAGAUGCGGAGGAACACCGAUGGCGAAGGCAGCCCCCUGGGCCAAUACUGACGCUCAGGCACGAAAGCGUGGGGAGCAAACAGG